AGCCAGACUCCUACGGGAGGCAGCAGUGGGGAAUAUUGCACAAUGGGGGAAACCCUGAUGCAGCGACGCCGCGUGAGCGAUGAAGUAUUUCGGUAUGUAAAGCUCUAUCAGCAGGGAAGAAGAUGACGGUACCUGACUAAGAAGCCCCGGCUAACUACGUGCCAGCAGCCGCGGUAAUACGUAGGGGGCAAGCGUUAUCCGGAUUUACUGGGUGUAAAGGGAGCGUAGACGGCGAUGCAAGCCAGAUGUGAAAGCCCGGGGCUCAACCCCGGGACUGCAUUUGGAACUGUGUGGCUGGAGUGUCGGAGAGGCAGGCGGAAUUCCUAGUGUAGCGGUGAAAUGCGUAGAUAUUAGGAGGAACACCAGUGGCGAAGGCGGCCUGCUGGACGAUGACUGACGUUGAGGCUCGAAAGCGUGGGGAGCAAACAGGAUUAGAUACCCCCGUA
rnacentral:rRNA from 1 species